rnacentral:lncRNA from 13 species
AUGAGAGGGGAGGACAAGGGGUGGAGGAGAAGAAGGAGGAGGGGAUGGAGAGAGGAGGAGGGGAAAGGAGAGAGGACAAAAUAUUCAAAACAAAGGACGCUUUUGGACGACAGGAAAAGUUCUCGUAAACAUCCAGCUCUUACAAGGAUGGGCAGUCUUCCAAUCGCCCUGCUCCUCUGCGGUUUCCACGUCCUCACAGCUGUGGCCCAAGCCCCGCAGGCUGAGGUGGAACUCCACAGAGGUGACUGGAAUGAAGAGGAGGCUUUGGUGUCUGUCUCUACCCUACCACCUGCCUGGUGAGUGAGGUGUCUGUCUCUACCCUAUCACCU